CGUUCGGAUUGUAGUCUGCAACCCGACUACAUGAAGCUGGAAUCGCUAGUAAUCGCGGAUCAGAAUGCCGCGGUGAAUACGUUCCCGGGUCUUGUACACACCGCCCGUCACACCAUGGGAGUCGGAAAUGCCCGAAGUCUGUGACCUAACCGUAAGGGAGGAGCAGCCGAAGGCAGGUCGGAUGACUGGGGUGAAGUCGUAACAAGGUACC
rnacentral:rRNA from 1 species